UUUUAAAGACCUUAAGAAAUUAAAGUUAAAAAAAAACAGAGAAGAAUGGGAUACUACUGUUCCAUCGAUUUUUUUAGCAAUUCUGCUUCAUCUUCAAUUCCUGAAUCUAUUUGAUUAAUUUAGGGUGGAUAAAAAAUAUCAGAAAGUUGAGGCGGCUAGAACUGAAAAAUCCACUAUUUUAUCAAAAAUCCUUGCAAUUCCUGAGAUAGUCUUCUCGAAUAAUUCAUCGGCAGCUGAAGCUUAAGAAUGAUUUCAGUCGAUAUGGUGUUCGAGUGUGUUGGGUCCUUUCAGUUGGUUUUUCUUUAGUUGCUGAAUCUCAUUCAAUUCUUCUGAUGGUUUGAGACUACUUCAAAGAUAUUCAUUCUCAUUUUGAUCCUGGGUGGAUAUUCUGCUGCACUAUUGUUGCUGUAUCCUUAACUUUUGCUGUAUUUUCCUCACAUUUGCAGAUAUGUCUUGAUUCCUGAAGUAGCAUAUGAGGUGCAAAUGUAAUUCAAUUGGAGGAAUGACAAAUGAUAACUUUAGUUGUCGAGUGAUUGCUCGUGUUCAUACUUUGUCCAAAUGCUUGCAUUUUUAACCCAGUCGUACUGUGUAGACUUUGUGCAUAUGUUGCGUUUUAUUUUCAAGUUGGUGUUUAAAAUCAGUUAAAGACUGUUUUUCCUGGUGAUAACCUCGAAUUUUAAUGAAAUAUAAAAGUGUAUAACCACUACUUCUCUUAUUUAAUUGGGCCAAGUUAGGGUUAAUGGAUCAUGUUUUUAUCGCCCCCAUAUAGUUAAAUAUACAUUCAUAUAUGUUGCUGUGAGGGUUUUCAUGUUAGGGUAUCACGAGAUUAGUGCUCUUUGUCAAAGUU
rnacentral:lncRNA from 1 species